GAAGGGGGCUAGCGUUGUUCGGAAUUACUGGGGCGUAAAGCGAGUGUAGGUGGUUGUCAUAGUCAGGUGUGAAAGCCUUGAGCUCAACUCAAGAAAUGCACUUGAUACUGGGCGACUAGAGGACUGGAGAGGAUAGUGGAAUUCCCAGUGUAGUGGUGAAAUACGUAGAGAUUGGGAAGAACACCAGUGGCGAAGGCGGCUAUCUGGACGGUUUCUGACACUAAGACUCGAAAGCGUGGGGAGCAAACAGGAUUAGAUACCCUGGUAGUCCACGCCGUAAACGAUGGGUGCUAGACGUUGGCGAGCUUGCUCGUCAGUGUCGCAGCUAACGCGUUAAGCACCCCGCCUGGGGAGUACGGCCGCAAGGUUG
rnacentral:rRNA from 1 species